AUUGAACGCUGGCGGCAUGCCUUACACAUGCAAGUCGAACGGUAGCGGGCCUUCGGGUGCCGACGAGUGGCGAACGGGUGAGUAAUGUAUCGGAACGUACCUUUCAGUGGGGGAUAACGUAGCGAAAGUUACGCUAAUACCGCAUAUUCUGUGCGCAGGAAAGCAGGGGAUCGCAAGACCUUGCGCUGAUUGAGCGGCCGAUAUCAGAUUAGCUAGUUGGUGAGGUAAAGGCUCACCAAGGCGACGAUCUGUAGCGGGGCUGAGAGGAUGAUCCGCCACACUGGAACUGAGACACGGUCCAGACUCCUACGGGAGGCAGCAGUGGGGAAUUUUGGACAAUGGGGGCAACCCUGAUCCAGCCAUGCCGCGUGAGUGAAGAAGGCCUUCGGGUUGUAAAGCUCUUUCGGCCGGGAAGAAAUCGUAUCAGCUAAUACCUGGUGCGGAUGACGGUACCGGCAUAAGAAGCACCGGCUAACCACGUGCCAGCAGCCGCCGUAAAAC
rnacentral:rRNA from 1 species